rnacentral:rRNA from 1 species
UACGAAGGGGGCUAGCGUUGUUCGGAAUUACUGGGCGUAAAGCGCGCGCAGGUGGUCUUUCAAGUCAGUGGUGAAAGCCCGGAGCUCAACUCCGGAAUGCCAUUGAAACUGUGAGACUUGAGGACGAGAGAGGUGAGUGGAAUUCCCAGUGUAGAGGUGAAAUUCGUAGAUAUUGGGAAGAACACCGGUGGCGAAGGCGGCUCACUGGCUCGUAUCUGACGCUCAGGCGCGACAGCGUGGGGAUCAAACAGG